AAAGCAGAAGAGACACCAUGAUCAGGUGCAUGGGCUUUCCCAGGCUGAGGCUCACCCAUUGCACUUGGGGUGUGCUGACCUCUGUGUUUUCGCUCCCAAGUGCGGGGAAACUGGACUGCAUAAUUUGUGGCAGUAGGGAACUGUGUUCGCGCUCUCCCCUG